rnacentral:misc_RNA from 1 species
AACGCACAUUGCGCCCCCUGGCAUUCCGGGGGGCAUGCCUGUCCGAGCGUCAUUUCUGCCCUCAAGCCCGGCUUGUGUGUUGGGCGUGGUCCCCCCGGGGACCUGCCCGAAAGGCAGCGGCGACGUCCGUCUGGUCCUCGAGCGUAUGGGGCUCUGUCACUCGCUCGGGACGGAUCGGCGGAGGUUGGUCACCACCACAGUUUUACCACGGUUGACCUCGGAUCAGGUAGGAGUUACCCGCUGAACUUAA